ACGGAAGGCAGCAGUGGGGGAUAUUGCACAAUGGGGGAAACCCUGAUGCAGCGACGCCGCGUGAGUGAUGAAGUAUUUCGGUAUGUAAAGCUCUAUCAGCAGGGAAGAUAAUGACGGUACCUGACUAAGAAGCACCGGCUAAAUACGUGCCAGCAGCCGCGGUAAUACGUAUGGUGCAAGCGUUAUCCGGAUUUACUGGGUGUAAAGGGAGCGUAGACGGCAAGGCAAGCCAGAUGUGAAAGGCUGGGGCUCAACCCCGGGACUGCAUUUGGAACUGUCUAGCUAGAGUAUCGGAGAGGUAAGUGGAAUUCCUAGUGUAGCGGUGAAAUGCGUAGAUAUUAGGAGGAACACCAGUGGCGAAGGCGGCUUACUGGACGAUAACUGACGUUGAGGCUCGAAAGCGUGGGGAGCGAACAGGAUUAGAUACCCUGGUA
rnacentral:rRNA from 1 species